rnacentral:sRNA from 1 species
UGUUGACGCGCCUAGUCGGGAGAGGGAU